CCUACGGGAGGCAGCAGUGAGGAAUAUUGGUCAAUGGGCGCGAGCCUGAACCAGCCAAGUCGCGUGAGGGAAGACGGCCCUAUGGAUUGUAAACCUCUUUUGUCGGGGAGCAAAAGGCGCCACGUGUGGCGUUAUGCGAGUACCCGAAGAAAAAGCAUCGGCUAACUCCGUGCCAGCAGCCGCGGUAAUAGGGAGGAUGCGAGCGUUAGCCGGAUUUAUUGGGUUUAAAGGGUGCGUAGGGGGAAGUUCAAGUCAGCGGUAAAAUUGUGGGGCUAAACCUUAUCGGGGCAUUGAGACUGGUAUUCUUGAGUACAUGAGAGGUAGGCGGAAUGCGUGGUGUAGCGGUGAAAUGCAUAGAUAUCACGAAGAACUCCGAUUGCGAAGGCAGCAUACCGGCGCGCAACUGACGCUGAUGCACGAAAGUGUGGGUAUCGAACAGGAUUAGAUACCCGGGUAGUC
rnacentral:rRNA from 1 species